GACGAACGCUGGCGGCGUGCUUAACACAUGCAAGUCGAACGGAAAGGCCCUGCUUUUGUGGGGUGCGCGAGUGGCGAACGGGUGAGUAACACGUGAGUAACCUGCCCUUGACUUUGGGAUAACGUCAGGAAACUGGGGCUAAUACCGGAUAGGAGCUCCUGCGGCAUGGUGGGGGUUGGAAAGUUUCGGCGGUUGGGGAUGGACUCGCGGCUUAUCAGCUUGUUGGUGGUGUAGUGGCUUACCAAGGCUUUGACGGGUAGCCGGCCUGAGAGGGUGACCGGCCACAUUGGGACUGAGGUACGGCCCAGACUCCUACGGGAGGCAGCAGUGGGGAAUAUUGCACAAUGGGCGGAAGCCUGCUGCAGCAACGCCGCGUGCGGGAUGACGGCCUUCGGGUUGUCAACCGCUUUCGCCUGUGACGAAGCGUGAGUGACGGUAAUGGGUAAAGAAGCACCGGCUAACUACGUG
rnacentral:rRNA from 1 species